rnacentral:rRNA from 1 species
UACGAAGGGUGCAAGCGUUGUUCGGAAUUACUGGGCGUAAAGCGCACGUAGGCGGCUUAUUAAGUCAGGGGUGAAAUCCCGGGGCUCAACCCCGGAACUGCCCUUGAAACUGCUAAGCUAGAAUCUUGGAGAGGCGAGUGGAAUUCCGAGUGUAGAGGUGAAAUUCGUAGAUAUUCGGAAGAACACCAGUGGCGAAGGCGACUCGCUGGACAAGUAUUGACGCUGAGGUGCGAAAGCGUGGGGAGCAAACAGG